rnacentral:lncRNA from 1 species
AAAAAACAGAGGAAAUUGCAGAGAAGAAGAAUGCUAUCAGAAGAAGACUGGCAGCUACUCCAGAGGUAAUUCCAUAACCUGUUGUUGCUCCAGUGGCUAAUAUGUGGGAAGAAACCUGCCCCCAAAACAAAAUUACAAAAUAAAAGCCGACCCCGAUAUUAUCCGUAAAAGUUUAUGUUCUGUGUACCGACAGUUUGAAGAAUUUUUUACCUCUUCAUAUCAAAUCCUAUAUACUUUGAUGCGCAUUUACUCUCAAACUAAUUUUUUUUUAAAAAUCUUAAUAUUUUCAUUCACCAUUAAUCAUAUAAUAUACAAGUCAUUAAGAUAUCAAAUUUGUUAUCCACUCAAAUAAUGUUGCCGUGGUAUUGUAAAGUUUUAUGAAGAUACAAAAAAAUUGAUUUCAUCUUAUUAAAUUCAAUAUUGUUCAUAUAUUCGAGUUUCUAAAAAGAUCAAAGUAUAUAGACGUACCUUAUCACCAUAAAAUUCAAAGUGAGUCAAGACAUCUCCACAAAUGUUUUGGCCAGAGAUCAUAUGAAAUAUUGUCAAGGCAGUUUGUAGGAAUGUGUACACUAAUCCAAUAACAAUUACAGAGAACGUGUAACUGCAAAUUUAAUUUACAACCACCAAAAAAUUCAACGAGAAUUAUGCUUCUUUCGAUGAAGUUUUAUGUACAUAUAAAUAAAUAAAAGAAAAAUGCAGCCUGAUGUGCUCAGUUCUUGCUAUGCACGCGGUCCAAGAAAGAUUUGGACCGUAUUGAGUCUAUUAUACGUGACUUUCUACUUUGCAUUUAUGCGAGAGCCUAUUUUGACAGCUUGAAUUUGUGACAUGUGAUUGUGUACACGUAGAUAAAGGUCAUAAGUUAACCAAACUUACCGAUAAGUAGAAAUUUGAUUAAAAUCAUCCGUUGUGGCGAGGACGAUGAGUGAUAUGAGUAGGAAAACAAAUGUGAGGAUUCUUGCAAUUAACAUAAACAACGGUUUAAUAGCCAUGGAUGAUAGUGGUUUGUGAAUCUCAAAACUUACUCUAAACAAGAACUUUUUUCUUUAUAUAGGGUUUUCUUGUAGUUGUAUCCACUGGUCAAAACAACAAAUCUUACUUUCCAACUUGUUGUUUUACCAGAUCAAAGUAAACAACGUAAGAUUCAAGUAUCAUAAUUACUUGUGUGACAAAAUGUUGUUUGAUCAGAUCAAGAACACAAAAAAUAAAUGUUCUUUUUAUUUGUUAGAUGAAUGGCAGGUUUUCGUUCCUUUCAUAGUUUAGUACAGAUUGUAAAUGGCUAAGACUAUUAAUCCUCCAGGAGUAUUUGAUCGACUCUUUCUCAAGUCAGUCAUCGGAGAUUUAUUUAGCAGAAAGGCUAAGAACUAGUCGUCCUGUUUCAAUAGGUUGGGCUUAACUCUUAAGUUCAUCUAUGUAAAUGGUAAGCUUAUAAGCUGUCAGCUUAUUAUAAGUACUUUUUGGACUUUAUAUUUGUCUGUAAAUAGCUUUAAGGA